rnacentral:tRNA from 1 species
GCUCCAGUGGCGCAGUCGGUUAGCGCAUGGUACUUAUAAGGCAGUAUUCAUGUACGAAUCAUUGUUCAGAUCUGUUGAGAGAUGCCGAGGUCGCGAGUUCGAGCCUCGCCUGGAGCA